UCGUAGUGUUAUAUUCUAUAGUUUUUUUAAAAAGUUUUUUGCUUGAGGUUUUGGUCUAGUUUUGUAUUUAGAUGGGAUUUAUAGUUAAAUAAUUAGAAUUUCAGUUAAUAAUUUUAUAUAUUAAGGAGAUUUAGAUAUAGUAAUAAUGUUAGUAUUAACAAAAUUUGUGCCAGCAGUUGCGGUUAUACAAAUAGUACAAUUAAAUUUUAUUGGGAAUAGUAAAUUGUUUUAUUUAGUUUUUAUCUAAAUUUGUUAGGUAAAAUUUUAAAUUUAGAUUAAGCUAAUAUUUAUAAUUUGAUCUAAGAUACUCAGAAUUUAAACUAGGAUUAGAUACCCUACUAUUUUGAAUUUAAAUCAUCUUACCUAAUUAGUAUUAGUUACGUUCUUGAAAAUUAAAAAAUUUGGCGGUAUUUUAGUCUAUUCAGAGGAACCUGUUUUGUAAUCGAUAGUCCACGUUUAAGUCAAUCUAAAUUAUAAGCUUGCAUAUCGUUGUAGUUCGAAAAUUUUAUAGGAAACUAAAUAUUCAAGAUUUAUAAUUAUAAUAAAAAUCAAAUCAAGGUGUAGCUUAUAUUUGGGAAAAAAUGGGUUACAAUAUUUUUAUUUUUGGUUUAUAGGUUGUGAAUUUAUGAUAAAUUGGAUUUGAAAGUAAUGGUAUAUAUAUUUAUUACAUGAUUUGAGCUCUAAAAUAUGCACAUAUCGCCCGUCGCUUUCACUAUAAAGUGAAAUAAGUCGUAACAUAGUAGUCUUACUGGAAAGUGAGGCUAGAAUGAUCAAAUUAAAGCUUAAUAGAAGCAUUUUAUUUA
rnacentral:rRNA from 1 species